AACAUCACUUGGCUGCAAGGCUGAAUGCAACAUCUUUGGAGUUUUUCCUCACCCUGAUGUGUACCUUCUGAUGCAUUUAUAGACAGCAGCCCUGCUAUCCACCUUCAUUGGAUAGAGGAGUCCUAAAUCCUCUCUUGUAAGGAAGAGUGAAAGAGGACCUUCAGGAUCGCAACCUUUCUGGUCACAUGCAAUUACACAGAGUUCUAGAUUUGAACCAACUCCCAUGCAUCUAAAGCCACCACCUUCUCAUUCUGAUGAAACACGCAGAUCUCGUUUGCUAUGAAAAAGUAUAUAUUCU